rnacentral:lncRNA from 1 species
GCUGGCGGCGCGGCUCCGCUUCCCCCCUCGCGAGCCGGUGCCCUGGCCGGAGCGCGCUGGGCCGGACUGCUCUCUGUCUGCUCUCUUACAGCCAUUUUCCAGAUCAUUCAGAGUAUCAGGAUGGGCAUGUGAAGCAGCUCAUCGCAAAGCAAGACGUCUGCAUCCUCCUGAGAAUUGCAAUGAACUCUUCCCCGUGGUCGAUACCCUGAUCAAUCUUAAUUCAUUAUAACAGUUGCUCGAGAACAAUGUUCCGCAUUGGCCAUAUGUCAUUCCAGAUACCCUGCCCCUCCUACCCACUGUUCUACUUCUGUGUGCAACAUCUGCAGUUUAUGCAGAGCCUCUUGGCAGUAGGAACCUCCCAGCUGUUGCAGGGUCUGUGCCCGCGCAGCGGAGCCUCGGGCUGCGGGGAACGUGUGACCAAAGCAACGCGGCGCUACUCCCGCAAGGAGGGGACAGGCCGCGUCUCCGAGCAGGAGUUUGGUGGAUGAUGGCUUGUCCGUGUUGCUGUUCUCCGUUUCCUCAGGCAGCAGCAGGGGCCUGGGAGGUCUGGCUGGAUCUUACCCCUGCAAGAAGCUUUUACUCUCACAGUACAGUGAAAACUGCGCUUUACACAACUUCAGGGUGGAUUUUGGUGACCUAGCAGUUCUCAGCAUUUUAUAGCACAGUUUGAUUAAAGAAAAAUCUUCUACAAAACUUGGGCUACUUUAGUGCAAAUACUGUCUAUGCUGACAUUUCUGAUGCUUUGUCUAUUUAGUAGCUCAGACAUGCUUUUCCCCCCAUUAACAUCACUGGAUACCGCAGAACAGCAGCGUGUUGCUAGUCACGUGUAAACAGAUGUGCAGUGACCCUGCGCUUUGUUGUAGUUACAUCAUGAACAACAAUCCGUGUCUGAUGGACGAGGUUCCAAGCCUGAUAAUGACAUUUAUCAAAUAAUUACAUUCCGG